rnacentral:lncRNA from 1 species
UCUUCUCAAAAGUGCUAGUUAUAAUUCUGGAUCUUUAGGAGGAAGAUCAACUUCAGUUUAAGUCCGUUCUAAAGUAGAUUAUUAGCAAAUCCUUUUGUUUUCCGACCUUAAGACGUUCCAAUCAAUACUAGUUUUCAAAUUUCUUUUGGAGAUGUACUCAUCAUUUUGACGAGCAUAGGCACAUGUGUACGAGUUGUUAUACCUACGGUCACUUGAAAACCCCAAAGUAGUGAGUAUUUUCCCUAGAAUUAAUGAAACCACCUCAUAGGACCAAUUCCUUACCAAUCAUCUGAAACCAACUACCUGAGCAGGCUCUAACCUAUAAUUAGCCUAUGGU